rnacentral:rRNA from 1 species
GAAUCCGAAGCGAAAGCGAGUCUGAAUAGGGCGCUAUAGUCAGUGGGGGUAGACGCGAAACCUUGUGAUCUACCCAUGGCCAGGUUGAAGUUUUGGUAACACAAAAUGGAGGACCGAACCAGUACACGUUGAAAAGUGUUUGGAUGAGCUGUGGGUAGGGGUGAAAGGCCAAUCAAACUGGGAAAUAGCUCGUACUCCCCGAAAUGCAUUUAGGUGCAGCGUCGUGGUAGAGUGUUAUAGAGGUAGAGCUACUGAUAGGGCUAGGGGGCUUCACCGCCUACCAAACCCUGACAAACUCCGAAUGCUAUAACAUAUACACGGCAGUGAGGGCAUGGGUGCUAAGGUCCAUGUCCGAGAGGGAAAGAACCCAGACCACCUGCUAAGGUCCCCAAAUAUGUGCUAAGUUGAUUUAACGAGGUGUGAUUGCUUUGACAGCUAGGAUGUUGGCUUGGAAGCAGCCAUUCAUUUAAAGAGUGCGUAACAGCUCACUGGUCGAGGAAUCCGGCGCCGAUAAUGAUCGGGAAUAAGUACAGAGCCGAAGCCGCGGACUUCGUAAGAAGUGGUAGGAGAGCGUUCCUGUCGGCGGUGAAGCG